AGAGUUGAUCCUGGCUCAGGACGAACGCUGGCGGCACGCUUAACACAUGCAAGUCGAACGAGAGAAGAGGAGCUUGCUUUUCUGAUCUAGUGGCGGACGGGUGAGUAACACGUGAGCAAUCUGCCUUUCAGAGGGGGAUACCGAUUGGAAACGAUCGUUAAUACCGCAUAACAUAAUUGAACCGCAUGAUUUGAUUAUCAAAGAUUUAUCGCUGAAAGAUGAGCUCGCGUCUGAUUAGCUAGUUGGUAAGGUAACGGCUUACCAAGGCGACGAUCAGUAGCCGGACUGAGAGGCUGAUUGGCCACAUUGGGACUGAGACACGGCCCAGACUCCUACGGGAGGCAGCAGUGGGGAAUAUUGCACAAUGGAGGAAACUCUGAUGCAGCGAUGCCGCGUGAGGGAAGAAGGUUUUAGGAUUGUAAACCUCUGUCUUCAGGGACGAAAAAAGACGGUACCUGAGGAGGAAGCUCCGGCUAACUACGUGCCAGCAGCCGCGGUAAUACGUAGGGAGCGAGCGUUGUCCGGAAUUACUGGGUGUAAAGGGAGCGUAGGCGGGAUCGCAAGUCAGAUGUGAAAACUAUGGGCUUAACCCAUAAACUGCAUUUGAAACAGCGGUUCUUGAGUGAAGUAGAGGUAAGCGGAAUUCCUAGUGUAGCGGUGAAAUGCGUAGAUAUUAGGAGGAACAUCAGUGGCGAAGGCGGCUUACUGGGCUUUAACUGACGCUGAGGCUCGAAAGCGUGGGGAGCAAACAGGAUUAGAUACCCUGGUAGUCCACGCCGUAAACGAUGAUUACUAGGUGUGGGGGGACUGACCCCUUCCGUGCCGCAGCAAACGCAAUAAGUAAUCCACCUGGGGAGUACGACCGCAAGGUUGAAACUCAAAGGAAUUGACGGGGGCCCGCACAAGCAGUGGAGUAUGUGGAUUAAUUCGAAGCAACGCGAAGAACCUUACCAGGUCUUGACAUCGUAUGCAUAGCUCAGAGAUGAGUGAAAUCUCUUCGGAGACAUAUAGACAGGUGGUGCAUGGUUGUCGUCAGCUCGUGUCGUGAGAUGUUGGGUUAAGUCCCGCAACGAGCGCAACCCUUACUGUUAGUUGCUACGCAAGAGCACUCUAGCAGGACUGCCGUUGACAAAACGGAGGAAGGUGGGGAUGACGCCAAAUCAUCAUGCCCCUUAUGACCUGGGCCUCACACGUACUACAAUGGCUGUCAACAGAGGGAAGCAAAGCCGCGAGGUGGAGCGAACCCCUAAAAGCAGUCUUAGUUCGGAUUGUAGGCUGCAACCCGCCUACAUGAAGUCGGAAUUGCUAGUAAUCGCAGAUCAGCAUGCUGCGGUGAAUACGUUCCCGGGCCUUGUACACACCGCCCGUCACGCCAUGGGAGUCGGUAACACCCGAAGCCUGUAGUCUAACCGCAAGGAGGACGCAGUCGAAGGUGGGAUUGAUGACUGGGGUGAAGUCGUAACAAGGUA
rnacentral:rRNA from 1 species